rnacentral:rRNA from 1 species
UACGGGGGGGGCAAGCGUUGUUCGGAAUUACUGGGCGUAAAGGGCUUGUAGGUGGCCAACUAAGUCAGACGUGAAAUCCCUCAGCUUAACUGGGGAACUGCUUCUGAUACUGGAUGGCUUGAGUUUGGGAGAGGGAUGCGGAAUUCCAGGUGUAGCGGUGAAAUGCGUAGAUAUCUGGAGGAACACCGGUGGCGAAGGCGGCAUCCUGGACCAACACUGACACUGAAAAGCGAAAGCCAGGGGAGCAAACGGG